UACGUAGGGUGCAAGCGUUAAUCGGAAUACUGGGCGUAAAGCGUGCGCAGGCGGUUUUGUAAGUCUGUCGUGAAAGCCCCGGGCUCAACCUGGGGAACUGCAUUUGUGACUGCAUCGCUGGAGUGCGGCAGAGGGGGAUGGAAUUCCGCGUGUAGCAGUGAAAUGCGUAGAUAUGCGGAGGAACACCGAUGGCGAAGGCAAUCCCCUGGGCCUGCACUGACGCUCAUGCACGAAAGCGUGGGGAGCAAACAGG
rnacentral:rRNA from 1 species